rnacentral:rRNA from 1 species
AUACGGAGGGUGCUAACGUUGUUCGGUGUUAUUGGGCUUAAAGGGUGCGUAGGCGGCUAGAUUAGUCAGGUGUGAAAGCCCUCAGCUCAACCGAGGAAUUGCGCUUGAUACUGUCUGGCUCGAGGACCAAAGGGGAGAGCGGAACUCCAGGUGUAGCGGUAAAAUGCGUAGAUAUCUGGGGGAACGUCGAAGGCGAAGGCAGCUCUCUGGGUGGUACCUGACGCUGAGUGCACGAAAGCUGGGGGAGCAAACAGGAUUAGAAACCCCUGUAGUCC